UACGUAGGUGGCAAGCGUUGUUCGGAAUUAUUGGGCGUAAAGGGCGCGUAGGCGGUUUGCUAAGUCAGUUGUGAAAGCCCGGGGCUCAACCCCGGAGGGUCGGCUGAUACUGGUGGACUAGAGUACGGAAGAGGUAGCUGGAAUUCCCGGUGUAGCGGUGAAAUGCGUAGAGAUCGGGAAGAACACCGGUGGCGAAAGCGCUCUGCUGGGCCGCAACUGACACUCAGGGACGAAAGCUAGGGGAGCGAAUGGG
rnacentral:rRNA from 1 species